rnacentral:tRNA from 1 species
GGCCCGUUGGAGAAACGGUUAACUCACCGCCCUCUCAAGGCGGCACUCACGGGUUCGAACCCCGUACGGGCUACCA